AUUACAGCCAAAGUUAAAUUGAUAUUGAUGUAUGAUGUCUUUACUGUCUGUUUCCCCAGUGCCUAGAACAGGGCUUGGCAUGUGGUAGGCACAUGACAAAUAAGUCCUGUGCUAAUCUCUUUAGAUGUCUCAAUCAUCUCCUUUACUCUAAACCAAAACCCAUCAGAGCAGGUAUUAUCCCCAAGUCUCUGAGGUGAGUAAUUGGUGAAUAAUUGGCUCUGAGUGGUUAAGUAUAGUCCCUUAACCACUGUGCCAUUCUUCCCCUGCCAGGUACCUCUUCUCCCACUUAAAUGAUUUCUCAGCAUGCCAGGAGAUCCGAGACUUGUUGGAGGAGCUGAGCCAGGUCUUGCAUGAGGAUGGUCCAGCGACUGAGAAGGAGGGCACAGUCCUGAGGAUCGUGAGUCUGUGGGGUGGGAAGAGAGUGGGGGUAGGGGCGAUCGGGCUCAGGCUACAUAGCCCGCUCCCCUCCCCCAGUGCAGCCACGUGGCUGGGAUCUGCCACAACAUCCUGGUCUGCUGCCCCAAGGAGCUGCUGGAACAGAGGGCCGUGCUCGAGCAGGUGCAGCUGGACAGUCCAUUGGGCCUAGAAAUUCACACCACCAGCAAUUGCCAGCACUUUGUGUCCCAAGUGGACACCCAG
rnacentral:sRNA from 1 species